GACAGAGGUCCCGAGCGUUAGGCGGAAUCACUGGGCUUAAAGCGUGUGUAGGCGGCUCUGUAAGUACCUUGUGAAAUCCCACGGCUUAACCGUGGAACUGCUCGGUAUACUGCGGAUCUUGAGCCACCUAGGGGCAGCCGGAACAAACGGUGGAGCGGUGAAAUGCGUAGAUAUCGUUUGGAACGCCAAUGGUGAAAACAGGUUGCUGGGGGUGUGCUGACGCUGAGACACGAAAGCCAGGGGAGCAAACGGG
rnacentral:rRNA from 1 species